rnacentral:lncRNA from 1 species
AAAUCUUGAGGGGCCUACAGAGCGCAGAGCACAUUUGUAUGCAUCGUUAGGACUCGCUAAUACCUAAGCCCAUUAACGAGCGUGUAUGCGCGUGGUUUCCGGUGUGUAUUAACUUAUAGUUAAAUUCUGGAGGAAAGGGCAUUGUGAAUUAACAUAUACCAAAUCCAUCACCGGCUUUUGUCAUAUCAUAUUAGUCAGCCAUGAGUUUUGGGGAGCAGGUUGCUAGAUUUGGGGUGUACCCACCCUCCAAACUUUCUGGAGCGAGUCUGGGGGGUGGGUUUAGGGGAAGACAGACACCCCUAUUCCAGCCCCGGUCAUUCAGGGACUCCUGGCCCGUGGCCGCGGACCUGCAGGAUGGUGGAGGGGCUGGGGACCGCCCGGAGGCUUUGGGCGGUGGAGGGAGGCCGCGGGCCAGGGGGAGGCCCUGAGGGCUGCAGGGCUGCAGGCCAGGACCGUGCUGGGGCCGCUUGGGCCACGGGGACGCUUGGGCCGUCUGGUUUCCGCUUUGGAAGAGAGAAGAGAAAAGGUUCUGUGUUUUCUCUGUUCCCGCUGCAGGACGUGGCCCAGCACCCGGGGCAGAGGCUGAGGGCAGGGCAGGCUGGCGGCAGGCCGGGCCCAGGCUCCAGAGGGCGCGACGGACAGUCAGUCGUUGAGGGCGCUCAGCUGGGCCGCUCCAGUCCUCUCCGAGCCGCCCUCGAGGAAAUCCUAACCAGCUCUCACAAACAUGUCAAGCCCAAAGCUGCUGUGUGUGUUUGAGCGGAGCUUCAGACAGCUACUUAACACCGGGGCCUCCGGGCCUUUGAUUCCUGCGCCCCUCGCCUUGCCCUCUCCCCCCGUCUGGCUGGUGUUUAUCGGCCAAGACGAUGUUUAAAUCACACUCGUUUCCUAUAAACAUUUCACUUGAAAUGCCAUCCGCUGCCCCAGAAAUUCAUCUAUCACCAGCUCGGGGUGUACUUGAGGAGCCUCCGGGCGAUGCUCCCCGUCUCUGUCCCCUGCCCCCCACCCCGCCUCCCCGACCCAUAUUCUCAGGUUUCACGCUGUAAGAACAACUUCCCCUCGGUGUAACAGGGCACUUAGUGCCAGGAUUAUUUAUAAGGCCGAGAUGGCAACGGGCGGUGGGGAGCAGCCCGGCCCGUGGACACUUCCUCUUGCAAAGCUCAAUAAACGGCCUGGAACGCUGUGUGCCA